GCAAAGCGUCCUAUGCUGACGUCAGCCCGGUACCGAUGAACACCCGGUAGCAGCGAAGAAAUUCCCUAUGUUUGCCUUUUGUUUAUAGUUUUAUCCCGUUAAAUUCCCGGUUUCAGACGUGAAAGCAUCAUGCCGUUCGAUGUGAGGAGGUGUCGUGGAUGCUGAGGUAGUGUUUGCUGCAGCUGUUGGGUCAUUUAUACUCACACCAGCUCUCAGAAGACUCCAUGUGUUUAUCGGUGUGCAUUACACUUGAGUGGACACCUCCUCUCUCUCAACACUGUUUUGACUCAAAGUUCACGUACAUUCUGCAGAUGAAUAAAUUAAAGAUCUGUCCGCAUGGA